AGGGUUUGAUCCUGGCUCAGGAUGAACGCUAGCGGCAGGCCUAACACAUGCAAGUCGAGGGGUAACAGGAGAGAGCUUGCUCUUUUGCUGACGACCGGCGCACGGGUGCGUAACGCGUAUACAAUCUACCUCUUACUGUGAGAUAGCCCAGAGAAAUUUGGAUUAAUAUCACAUGGUAUCAUUUUACGGCAUCGUAUUAAUGAUUAAAGGUUACGGUAGGAGAUGAGUAUGCGUCCUAUUAGUUUGUUGGUAAGGUAACGGCUUACCAAGACUACGAUAGGUAGGGGCCCUGAGAGGGGGAUCCCCCACACUGGUACUGAGACACGGACCAGACUCCUACGGGAGGCAGCAGUGAGGAAUAUUGGACAAUGGGGGCAACCCUGAUCCAGCCAUGCCGCGUGCAGGAAGACUGCCCUAUGGGUUGUAAACUGCUUUUAUAUGGGAAGAAACACUCUCACGUGUGAGAGCUUGACGGUACCAUAAGAAUAAGGACCGGCUAACUCCGUGCCAGCAGCCGCGGUAAUACGGAGGGUCCGAGCGUUAUCCGGAAUCAUUGGGUUUAAAGGGUCCGUAGGCGGGCAGCUCAGUCAGUGGUGAAAGUCUGUGGCUCAACCAUAGAAUUGCCAUUGAUACUGGUUGUCUUGAAUUAUUGUGAAGUGGUUAGAAUAAGUAGUGUAGCGGUGAAAUGCAUAGAUAUUACUUAGAAUACCGACUGCGAAGGCAGAUCACUAACAAUAUAUUGACGCUGAGGGACGAAAGCGUGGGGAGCGAACAGGAUUAGAUACCCUGGUAGUCCACGCCGUAAACGAUGGAUACUAGCUGUUCGAUCUUCGGAUUGAGUGGCUAAGCGAAAGUGAUAAGUAUCCCACCUGGGGGAGUACGUUCGCAAGAAUGAAACUCAAAGGAAUUGACGGGGGCCCGCACAAGCGGUGCAGCAUGUGGUUUAAUUCGAUGAUACG
rnacentral:rRNA from 1 species